AACGAACGCUGGCGGCAGGCCUAACACAUGCAAGUCGAACGAACCCCUCGGGGUGAGUGGCGCACGGGUGCGUAACACGUGGGAAUAUACCCUUCAGUACGGAACAACACAGAGAAAUUUGUGCUAAUACCGUAUAAUGACUCCGGUCCAAAGAUUUAUCGCUGAAGGAUUAGCCCGCGUUUGAUUAGAUAGUUGGUGAGGUAAGAGCUCACCAAGUCGACGAUCAAUAGCUGGUUUGAGAGGAUGAUCAGCCACACUGGAACUGAGACACGGUCCAGACUCCUACGGGAGGCAGCAGUGAGGAAUAUUGGACAAUGGGCGCAAGCCUGAUCCAGCCAUGCCGCGUGAGUGACGACGGCCUUAGGGUUGUAAAGCUCUUUCAGAUGCGAAGAUAAUGACGGUAACAUCAGAAGAAGCU
rnacentral:rRNA from 1 species